CACGUUCGCGUACGAUCAUCUAAGUUAAGCAAUGUCGAGCCUGGUUAGUACGGAGAUGGGUGACCGCUCGGAAUACCAGGUGUUGUAAGC